rnacentral:rRNA from 1 species
UACGUAGGUGGCGAGCGUUGUCCGGAUUUACUGGGCGUAAAGGGGGCGUAGGCGGACUUUUAAGUGAGAUGUGAAAUACUCGGGCUCAACUUGAGUGCUGCAUUUCAAACUGGAAGUCUAGAGUGCAGGAGAGGAGAAUGGAAUUCCUAGUGUAGCGGUGAAAUGCGUAGAGAUUAGGAAGAACACCAGUGGCGAAGGCGAUUCUCUGGACUGUAACUGACGCUGAGGCUCGAAAGCGUGGGGAGCAAACAGG